rnacentral:rRNA from 1 species
UACGAAGGGUGCAAGCGUUACUCGGAAUUACUGGGCGUAAAGCGUGCGUAGGUGGUUUGUUAAGUCUGAUGUGAAAGCCCUGGGCUCAACCUGGGAACGGCAUUGGAAACUGGCUUACUAGAGUGCGGUAGAGGGGUGUGGAAUUCCCGGUGUAGAGGUGAAAUUCGUAGAUAUCGGGAGGAACACCAGUGGCGAAGGCGGCGACCUGGACAGAUAUUGACGCUGAGGUGCGAAAGCGUGGGGAGCAAACAGG